GUCUGAAGCAGACUCAACACAACGUGAUACAGAGAGGGAUUUAUGCUUGUGCUCGAGAGAGGUGCAAGACAACAACAACAACAAGAUACUCGCCCUGGAAAACUCCCAAAAGCUGCUGUUUCAGGUCAGAGGUUAAACAAAGGAAGGGAAGAGCUCUGCAGUGAAAUUGCCCAGAGCACCACAGCAUGUGAGCACGCGCACACGCGUGCAUGCACACACACACACACAAACGGCCGUCUAAGCACCAUGAACAAGGCAGUGGAUGGGAGAUUAUUCACAGAAUUUGAUGUUCAAAAACUCCAAGAAGUGUAAAUAGAAUGUGGCCAUAGGGCGAACAAAUAAAGGGCAAUCUGAAAUUUA